rnacentral:rRNA from 1 species
GACGAACGCUGGCGGCGUGCUUAACACAUGCAAGUCGAACGAGAAGAGAUGAGAAGCUUGCUUCUUAUUGAUUCGAGUGGCAAACGGGUGAGUAACGCGUAAGCAACCUGCCCUUCAGAUGGGGACAACAGCUGGAAACGGCUGCUAAUACCGCAUAAGCCCACAGCUCGGCAUCGAGCAGAGGGAAAAGGAGUGAUCCGCUUUGAGAUGGCCUCGCGUCCGAUUAGCUGGUUGGUGAGGUAACGGCCCACCAAGGCGACGAUCGGUAGCCGGACUGAGAGGUUGAACGGCCACAUUGGGACUGAGACACGGCCCAG